rnacentral:rRNA from 1 species
CGGCGUGCUUAACACAUGCAAGUCGAACGCGAAGGGACUUCGGUCCUGAGUAAAGUGGCGCACGGGUGAGUAACGCGUGGAUAAUCUGCCCUUAUGAUCGGGAUAACAGUUGGAAACGGCUGCUAAUACCGGAUACGCUCAAAAUGAACUUUUUGAGGAAAGAUGGCCUCUGCUUGCAUGCUAUCACGUAAGGAUGAGUCCGCGUCCCAUUAGCUUGUUGGCGGGGUAACGGCCCACCAAGGCAACGAUGGGUAGCCGAUUUGAGAGGAUGAUCGGCCACACUGGAACUGAAACACGGUCCAGACUCCUACGGGAGGCAGCAGUGGGGAAUAUUGCGCAAUGGGCGAAAGCCUGACGCAGCGACGCCGCGUGAAGGGAUGAAGGUUUUCGGAUCGUAAACCUCUGUCAGAAGGGAAGAAACUACGUUGUGCUAAUCAGCAGCGUACUGACGGUACCUUCAAAGGAAGCACCGGCUAACUCCGUGCCAGCAGCGGC